CUCCUGCUGGGUUUCCUUGAGGGUCCCGGGGCUCCUGCACGAUCCCCUCCGUGUUCUCCCUCCUGCAGCCGUGGAGCAACUGCGUGUGCAUGUCAGACGGCACAAGGGGGUGAGGAAGUUCGAGUGCACCGAGUGCGGCUACAAGUUUACCCGACAGGUAGGCCAGGGCCCAGGUCCGUUCCCCUACCCCGGGAUCCCUCGAAGUCCUGAGCUCACCCUCCCCGCCAGGCCCACCUGCGGAGGCACAUGGAGAUCCACGACCGGGUGGAGAACUACAACCCGCGGCAGCGCAAGCUCCGCAACCUGAUCAUUGAGGAUGAGAAGAUGGUGGUGGUGGCGCUGCAGCCGCCUGCAGAGCUGGAGGUGGGCUCGGCGGAGGUCAUUGUGGAGUCCCUGGCCCAGGGCGGCCUGGCCUCCCAGCUCCCCGGCCAGAGACUGUGUGCAGAGGAGAGCUUCACCGGCCCAGGUGUCCUGGAGCCCUCCCUCAUCAUCACAGCUGCUGUCCCCGAGGACUGUGACACAUAGCCUACUCUAGCCACCAGAGCCCACUUGGCCCCACCCCUCAAUAAACCGUGUGGCUUUGGACUCGCGUA
rnacentral:sRNA from 1 species